AGAGUCAUUGGAGAAGAACCCCCUGCGGUUCUGGCUCGAGGGGGGAAAGGUCACAAAGCUCUGCCCACAGGAGGCUGAGCAGGUGUGGACCCUCAACAUCAAGAGGUCCAUUCUGAGCAUGUUCCAGACCUCGCACUCGGGACGAGCCAGGGAGACAAUCAGAGAGACUGAUGUGUAUGGGACAUGUAUGAGUUCUUAUGAACAGAGGGGACCGUCGCUGGUGAAGAGCCGAAACCUCCAGCAGUGCCUCAGUGACAGAAUCGAUCAGUUUUGGAGGCACUCUGUCCCCCUGAAGGAUGGCAUGGUGAGCUCCAUGUUUUCUAUUCUAAACCCAACAUUCACACAACUGACCCAAUGUGAACUGCCUUCAGUUUGAGUUGCUCUUUAUUUUGAUUAGACGGUGAGUGCCAGCCUCACAUGCAACCAGCUCAAUGAUGGAACAAUGCUGAAGAAGGUCAACUGUACAGAAACAGUGUCACUGGUUCCGCUGCCAGGCCUCUUAGAAGUAACAGAAACUAAAACCAUUUCAAGCCUAACUCUCCUGAGAACCCUUGAAGUGAUUCCAUCAGAUUUGGUGCAGAACACCGGUCACUUGACCAGUAUUGUGUUUGAGGCUGAAGGCCAAAUCUCAGGCAGACAUGGUGGAGCAUCAGUUCAAGAGGUUUCCAAUACAGUGAGGAGGUUGUGUGCUCAUCUCGCAAACCAGCAACAGCAAUCAGAGCUUCUCCUGAAUCUGGUGCUCCAGUUGAGAACCUUGUCGUCCCAUCAGUUGAGAGACUUGUGGCAUGAGGCUUCCUUCAAAUGUCGAGAUGACUGGUUGGUCCUUCAACAUUCAUUACAUUCAUUAAAAAUAGCGUAAUGAUGGAAGAUGUUUACAGAUGAUAUAUACUUCAUAUACAUCAUAGCAUGCCGUAAUAAAACCAUGGUACAUAUUGCA
ensembl:lncRNA